AAUCAUUAGCUUUUUAAUUGAAAGCUGGUAUGAAGGAUUGGACGAGAUACUUACUGUCUCUAUUUUAAAUAUUGAAUUUUAUUUUUGAGUUAAAAAGCUUAAAUUUUCUUGUAAGACGAGAAGACCCUAUAGAGUUUUAUACUUUAUGAUUUUAUUUUUGAUAUUAGAAUUUAAUUUUUAGAGUCUAAAAGUAUUUUGUUGGGGUGACAGAAAAAUUUAUUAAACUUUUUCUUAUUAUUUUAUAUAGAUAUAUAGAUUUUUGACUUAGUUUCUAAUUAUAAGAUUAAAUUACCUUAGGGAUAACAGCGUAAUUUUUCUUAAGAGCUCCUAUCGAAAGAAGAGAUUGCGACCUCGAUGUUGGAUUAAAGUUUAAAUUUGGUGUAGAAGCUACUUGUUUUAGUCUGUUCGACUAUUAAAACUUUACAUGAUCUGAGUUUAGACCGGCGUGAGCCAGGUUGGUUUCUAUCUUCAAUAUUUUAAAAUAUUUUAGUACGAAAGGACCAAAUAUUAUUUAAAUUAAUUUAAUUUUGACUUUUACU
rnacentral:rRNA from 1 species